GCGGCGGGCUUACACAUGCAGUCGAGCGGUAAGGCCCUUCGGGGUACACGAGCGGCGAACGGGUGAGUAACACGUGGGUGAUCUGCCUCGCACUCUGGGAUAAGCCUGGGAAACUGGGUCUAAUACCGGAUAUGACCUUACAUCGCAUGGUGUUUGGUGGAAAGAUUUAUCGGUGCGAGAUGGGCCCGCGGCCUAUCAGCUUGUUGGUGGGGUAAUGGCCUACCAAGGCGACGACGGGUAGCCGGCCUGAGAGGGCGACCGGCCACACUGGGACUGAGACACGGCCCAGACUCCUACGGGAGGCAGCAGUGGGGAAUAUUGCACAAUGGGCGAAAGCCUGAUGCAGCGACGCCGCGUGAGGGAUGACGGCCUUCGGGUUGUAAACCUCUUUCGACAGGGACGAAGCGCAAGUGACGGUACCUGUAGAAGAAGCACCGGCCAACUACGUGCCAGCAGCCGCGGUAAUACGUAGGGUGCGAGCGUUGUCCGGAAUUACUGGGCGUAAAGAGCUUGUAGGCGGCUUGUCGCGUCGAUCGUGAAAACUUGGGGCUCAACCCCAAGCUUGCGGUCGAUACGGGCAGGCUUGAGUACUUCAGGGGAGACUGGAAUUCCUGGUGUAGCGGUGAAAUGCGCAGAUAUCAGGAGGAACACCGGUGGCGAAGGCGGGUCUCUGGGAAGUAACUGACGCUGA
rnacentral:rRNA from 1 species